UUCCCAUGCUAUCCACCCCGUCCAACAAUGGAUGUUGGGCUUCUACCAUUCUUAUCAAAACCAAACAGGCCCAAAAUCAUUAGAAGGAGAGGAAUAGGAAAAUAGGGUGGUGACGACUCUGAUCCUGCUUAUUUAAUUUGAUAUGCCCAUCGGCGGGCGGUGGCAGGACUGGCGUAGGACCGAUAUCACUGUGUGUGCUCGAUCGUCUAUGGAGAGGGAGAGGGAGAGGGAGAGGCCGAGCCAUCACCACAACGACAAUAGUCAGGAACCUCACUUCCACGGAGGUCGGCACCACCACAAUUUCCACUCAGAGCAGCAGAAUGAUUCGAAUGCUUACCAGAUGAAUGGCACGUUCAAUAAUUCGACUCCUCCUCUAUCGGGGCAAAAGCGGCCAUUUUCUCAUCCCAAUGCAGUUGGUAGCGCAAAUUUUGUGAAGCUUUACGUGGCUGGGAUACCUAAAACAUCUACUGAACAAGAUAUAAGGGCUACGUUCGAAGAACAUGGUGACGUUCUUGAGGUUGUUCUUCUUAAGGAUAAACGAACCGGUUUACAGCAGGAGUGCUGCUUUGUGAAAUAUGCAACUUUAGAGCAAGCCGAACGAGCUAUUGGGGCAUUUCACAGUAACUAUAUUUUUCCUGGGGCAGCAAAUCCUUUGAAAGUUAGAUAUGCAGAUCGGGAAAGUGAACGACUUGGGAUGACUGGUGGUGCACAGAUCACCAAGUUGUAUGUAGGCUGCUUAAAUAGGCAAGCUUUGAAGUGGGACAUUGAAGAAAUAUUUUCACCCUUUGGUGUUAUCGAGGAGAUUUUUAUUGUCAGAGAUGAAUUCAAGCAAAACCGUGGAUGUGCAUUUGUUCAAUAUACUUCUAGAGAUAUGGCACUGGCAGCUAUUCAAGCUUUGCAUGGAACAUAUGUGAUGAGAGGAUGUGAUCAACCUUUAAUAGUUCGGUUUGCAGAUCCCAAGAAACCAAGGGUAGGCGAUUCAAGGCCCAGUCAACAUGUCAAUGACACAACCAAUGGGCAUAUGAUGUCCAAUGAAGUGCAACAGAUGAAGUCUUCAGAUGCAGAAUGCAAGACAGCAGUCAUGACAAGUAAUGGCUCAGCACCUGCAUCUCAUACAUUAGAUUCGAUUGAUGAUAUGGAACCCUCCAUAGAAUGUGAAUGGAGCGAGCACGUCUCUCCUGAUGGAGACUUGUAUUAUUAUAACUGUGUGACAUGUGAAAGCAGGUGGGAGAAGCCCGAAGACUAUGAACUUUAUGAACAACAACUCGAUAAUCUGGAAGAACAGCAGCAGGACUUGAGAUGAAAAGGUUUGAAAAGCUGAAGUUGCCACCGCAUUCAAACAAGAGGCAUGUCCCCGCCUCAUUAGAUUGUGAUGGACAAUUGUUUCAGUGGGACUGCUAUAUGUUUCGCUUCUCCUGUGGACAAUUGAGUGGCUAUAACGAGGACACAAGGAUGAAGUGAAGUAGCUGAUUAGUGGUGAUUGCCAGCUAGUUCCUCAUUCUUAACAAGAUUAAGAGUAGAUGAUGGCACAACAUCCUGAAGAAGCCCA